UUUCACUUUAGCUUCUUGGCAUUUAAAUAUUUAAUGGACAGAUUUCUAAGAGGGGUCCUUAUGCAAGGACUGCCUUUCACAGCCAGGGACGUAUCCGAGGUAGGUUGCUCUUGAACCCGAAGCCAGCCAGCUUGCAAAGAACGCCAAGAUGUCCUCUAUCCAGAACUUGGGAUUUGUGAAACACAACUCCUGAUCUCAGGUGUUGGGGGUCGCUAGCCACGUAGAAAUUUUAUCAAGCAUAUAAAAUAUUGUAGCAGGCAUCUUAAACAACAGAAAAGAGAAAAUAUCUGUUGGGGGGUGUUUGGAAAUGUUAUUUGGAAGCUAAAGUCCAUUAUUAAAAAUUUGUACUGUUUUAUUACUAAACCCUUACUACUUUAAAAAUAUUAUUUAAUGCUGGAUGGACAUUUUCAGAGAGCUGGCUUAAGUGUAGCAGCCAAGAUCCAGGGUGCAGUGGAAGGUCCUAGUGUGUGAAGUUCUUGCUUAUGGGGCAGCUAAAUAAAGCAAAACAGAACAGAGCAAACAAAAAAAAAAAACCCAGUUCAUAACCUCUUGUAAUAAGUGGAUGUAUAGGUGGCUUACACAGCCCAGCUAGCAGGCCUGAGGAGGUUUUUGGGAAUCACAAAAGGGGGUGAAAGAAUUUGCCUUUGACAUAAUUACAGGGUUUUUCGGUAACAUUGAAAUUACUUUCUUCAAAGUUGGAUUUCAAAAGCCUAGGUGGUCUCUCUCCAAGGCCAGCAGGAGCUUCAUUUUAUUGGAGCACGUAGGUUCUGGCUAUCUGGGAAAUAAAACUGUGUCUCUGUACGCGUGUACCUAGCCAGGGUUAGCACUAAACUACCGCCGUGGGGAUUAAGCCUGCUUUCCUAUAGUUGUGCCGCAGGUGUGAAUAUACCGAUCCUUUCUCCACGUUUUAGAUGUGGUUUGGAUAGCCUUGUUGGGGCCCUUCACCUCAAAUCACUCACAGUGGGGGGCACCUAUCUCCAUAGCACCCCAGAGCCAUGAGCUGGCGCUUGAGGCCCUGUUUCCAGGAAUGUGGAUGAGGCCAGAGGAGUCCAGGCCUGCUUUAUGCCUACCUUCCUGGGCUACCUGCUGUGGUUGAUCCAGGGUAAGAGCCUCUAAGAGUAGAGAGUCCCUUUUAGCAGAGUCUGAACCAAACACUAAUCUUGAUCAUCUUUCAUUUAUUUUAUUUUAUUUUUUAUUUUUUUACUAGUCUGCUUUACGCUGCUCACCACCCCUGUUUUGAGUUUUUGUUUAUCAAUCAGAGGCAUUUAGCAAACAGAAAACCCUGGGUGAGCCAUUUGGGAACCAUCUCAGCUGUUGUAGAAGUGUGUCUGUGGAAGGUAUGCCGCCCAGAGCUGCUUGGCUUAGCGCUGGCCACGAUGAGGUCCUUAGCAGAAGCUCACUCUCCUUGCUGAAAAAAAUGCGGGCAGUGUUUUUCCUUGUCCACAGAAGAUCUAUGGCACAGGGUUGGAAGGGUGGAGACUGUGUGGUGGUUACUUGAGGGUCUUCGUCAUGCUUGGGACUACAGCAGACCCCCAAACAAGUGUAUAUCCUACUACUCCCCAGGCCAUCGUGUGGAACCCAAGGCGAGCAAGAAAGACCAGAGCAUCAGCGGAGGUGGUUCCAGGGCGGUGAACCAAGGGCACUAUUUUGACAAGCAUCAGGGUCCUGUGUAUUGCCAGAGCAUACCCUGGUCCCUGGGAAAUAACAGGAUUAAGCGUGUUUGUUUCCAGGGAGGCUGUCCAGGACAUCUUCCCAUGCUCAAAAGGCUUGUUUUGGCAACAUUUAUUUUUGGGGGGUGGGUGGGAUACAUAUACACAAAAGAGGAGACACAUACUUGUCUAUUUUGCCCCCUGUUGGAUUUAAUAUAAGGAGCAGGUAAGUGGGCUCUGGCGAAUGGACGGCUGUGUGGACUCCCUAGGGGCAUGAGGCUCUGUUUUUGCUAUUAAAUUAGGGCCGAGCCCAGGGUGGCCACAGUAGGGCCUCACCAUUCCUCACGAUGUCCUAGGCACAAGUGAUGUGUGGUAACAAGGCCCACCAAACCUUCUUCAACGGCAGCAUGCUCCAGGCUUUGUAGCAGUGGGGCUAGCCUCUGGCUGGCGACCUCUGUGUAAACCUGUCUUUCUGCUUCUCUCCAGUCCCCAGCAGGACACAUAGCCUGCCCUGCCUCAUCAUAUACAAGGUCCUAUUGGAAGGCAGGAGGAGAGGGCUGUGGAGGGCUUUGCCCAUCCGUGAGGGGCACCCUGCCGGGUGGAUACUCCUUUUUGUCCAGGAGAACCUCCAUGGGCCUUGAAAGAGGAGCAUUGCUCGGGGAAAGGCCAGGCCUUCUAAGGGCCAGGCGGGCGACAUCUUACAGCUUCCAGGCUUCGUUUUUAUUUGCCUCGGUUGGAUUUUCAGGGUUGUAUUUGCAUGUGUGGAGUGAAGGGAGAAUUCUGACACGGAACUCAGGAGGCUGGGAUGCCCAAGCUCACGUUAGGGCGUGGAGUUGGAGUAUUCCGGGCUCUAAUUUGUCCUUGUCUGCUACUCACUGUGUGACCCAGGCAAGUCCUGUUGCCUCCCCAGGCCUGUACCCUGAGCAUUCCAAAGAGGAAUAGAGAUGCCAAUCUCGGAGGGUGAGGACAACAUUGUUGUUAUUAUUUUCAUAAGCGAUUAUUGCUGGCAUGUUGUCAGGGAGCAUCCAGUGGCUGUUCUAUAGUCAUUAUUGUAAAUGAAAUCACUAUAGUUAUUUAUAUAUUUAUCAUUUAAUACCUUGUGCACUGAAUGAUAGGUUAUAUUCAGGUAACAGAUCCCACCUCUGGUUUAUUCAGAAAGGACACCAAGAAGUUGACACCCCAGCACCUUAGGGUUGGCUGGCGGGAACUCGCAAAGCCAGAGCUUUCCACGUCCCAGGGGAUUUUGUGUGAAUGUGACGACUACAUGCAUUGUGGAUUUUGUAUUAGGUAUGGGAGAUGAGACAGAGGUUCCCUUGGGGACUCAAAAUGUGCUACCCCUUCACAAGGCAAAAUGAGGUCUUCCCGGAAAAUGACUUCAGGGUGCUGGUCCGGCUCUGAACUUUGUUCCCGAUGGUGGUCCAGAAUGGCCAUGGCAACUUCCAGCAUCCUUGCUAGAGAUGCGUAUAGGGAUUUGAUAGGAGAGUUUUGCCACUCUGACAAGUGACAGGUACAUUUACCACAUAGCUGGUUUGGGAGAAAUUUUCUCCUGGCUCUUUGUUCCGAAAGACACAGCAAGAUUACUUUUUUUUUUUUUUCCUCUCAAAGCACCUUGUUGGAAGGAAAAGAAACCUUAAGGGCACUAGCCAGACUUUCUGAUGUUACAGGGAUGAUACAUGAGAAAAAGCAACAAUUGUCUCCAAACAGAGACAAUGGAUCUUUUAUAUGGGCUAUUUAUUUUGAGGGCUGACCAAUGUUUCACUGGCUGGGCAGUCAUUAGAGUUCAAGCAUUCGAGUAUUGUGGGCCCUGGCCCCAUAGUUAAGGGCAGAGGUUUACAGGGGGGAAAAUGAAAGUCCCCUGAGCUGUGGUUCUGGGGAAGUCCCAACGCGUGUGCCCAGCUUUCUUUGUGGGGUGCAGUUUAAACUUUGACUCAUUCAGUUUUCUCCUCCUGUGAUUUAUUUUCAAAGGCCACAGGGGGUUCGUCUGCAGUCCUUGGAAAGGUGGCCAGGUUUUGGAUGAUGGGCCUGCUGAGGUUUCCCUUAGGCCAAGUCUGGUCAGCCUAGCUGGGCUUCAGAAUGGAAGUGAAUAAAAUGGACUCGAAGAGGCAGAAUCACUUCCCGGGGGCUUCAUCAGACAGUGUGGGCCCAUAUUUGUGGUUUUCCAAUGUCAUCUCCUCCUCCUCCUCCUCCUCCUCACAUCCUGUUCUCAGAUGAACUUGGGAGUGGCCUGUAGGUUGUGGGAGUCUUAACUGGAGUGGAGAAGCCCACACUGGCCCUCCUUUAUAAUCUCGACUAUCGAAAGUAUUUUGUGACUCGUGAUAAACAAACCCAGUGUGUGGAACCGUGAAGACUGUCUUCUGAAUUGUAGCCCCCGAGGCCUCUGCACCAAGGAGAGUCUUCCUAGCCUACCCUCCAAGGACUGAUCUGGCCCAAGCUGUGCCUGGGGGUGGUCCACCUCAAAAGAGAGGCCAGUAGCUGAGGCUCACCUUGGGGAUUCAGAGUGGCCUUGCUGUGGCUAGGGAUUAUAUAGAGACUGCUAGAGAGGGCCAGCAGUAUGCAGUUUUGAGGAUUCCAAGGGGGACCCUUAGUCAGAGGACACCUGUUACUUUAAGUGACCCUUAGUCAAGACACUUCUGCCAGGGCCAGUGCAGGAAGACAGACAAGGAACAGGCCCUGGCAGGGAACACCUACUUAUUACUCAAAAUAAUUUUUUUUUUUGGUAAAUGAUAAUAUUUGUCUUCUGAGUAAGGUUUUAUUUUUAAAAAUUGAUUUUGUUGGUUUUGUUGACUUUGAAUGGUAGAAGUUCACAGCACCCCACUUUUUAUAUUAGUCUGUGCCUCCAAAUGCCAAGCCAAGAGACUUUUAGGGAAGUCCAGACGUCCUUUAAGGCUGAAAUGAUGGGAAAGAAUGAAAUCUUGUGUUCUGGGCAGAAAAAAAACAACAACAACAAAACAAAACAAAGAACCCCUCUAAAAACACGGGUUCUAUUCACUUGUUGGAGGACGCAGGCACAAAAUGCAGUGUAGUCUUGCCACUGGAUUCUGGCAUCUUCUAGUUGGGAGUCUGGAAAUCUCCUUACGAUGCAGAUGUGUGUGCACAGGUGUCUGGAAUUGACUGUCCAGACAGCGGUGGGGAGGGGUUGUGAGCUGUGAUGUCCAUCAGGCUUGAGUAGGGUUGAGGGUUAGGACUUGUCACUGUGGUGGUAAAAUGUACACACGAAGCAGAUAGCCUCAUGGGAUAUAUUUUGAGGCUGGGUAAAUUUCCCCUUCAGAUUAAAGAGGAAUGCUGUCUAGGUGCUCUGGCUGUCUGAUACUGGGCUGACUUUUUCUGUGAACCGCUCUUCUUUACUACUGGGAUUUCUGGCCAGAGUAGUACUCAGCAGAAAUAUCUUAAAUUUAGAAUUUCCUUUGAUAUAUUUAAGAAAGGUAUUUACAUCCAAAUCAGGCUUUUAUAAUUACAUCUUAAAUUAUUAUAAACCAUACCAGCCCUGCAACCUCCUUUCCCAUACCUUUGGACAAUAAGAAAAACCGUGGCCAAUCCUACCCUGGAUUUCACAGCAUUCGGACUUAACAGGACUGUUCUGACCUGGAGGGACUCAUGAGCAUGUCACAGUCCAUGCAUGCCAACUGCUGAGCCUUCCCACCGGGAGAAAUGCAUGUGGCUGGGGCCUAUGGCAUGCGGUCGCAUCCGAUAAGGACCCACUGACCUCCAUGGUGCUCUAGUGUCUCAAUGCCUCAAUGACCUGCUGUAGCUAUGGUGAGGCUUCUGUCUCCCGGAUGGCGAGCUGAGCACAGCAGUAGUCAUUUUCUGAUUGUGGUGACACCGGGUGUCUGGGGAGGGGGGUACCGCCUCUUAUGGCCAUGUGAUCCAGGUUCUCCUGCCUCUUUUCCCUUGUCUCAGCAGGACCCCCAAAUAGCUGCCGGUUAGGGCUUCAGUGGCUUCUCUGCAUUGUAGACUGGCAGAACAGGUCCCAUUUCACACGGCGUAGGGACCCUUCUCCUCCCAGGGCCAGGCUCUUGGCAGCCAUGCCAAGCCAUUGCUGGCAUGGAUUCCCGGCGUUCUUGGUCGAGCGCAUGGCAUCGGAAUGCUACCUGCUUUGUCUCUGGCGUCAGCUGGCAAGCAGUCACGUGGCCGUAUGCGUGAGGCCAGAGCUAGAGACCAGAGACUCCUUCCCGGCAGCUUCCUCCUAGCUCACGCUGCCUGUCCUGUCUCCUUGGCCUUCAGCAUGAUGACUGUCUGAGCAGCCAGAAAGCAGUACAAAACAAGCAGGCAGCCCAGGGAAGGCCAGAUCUACACGGUCUGCCUGACCACCCGUUACCUGAAUCAUCAUGGACAGAAAGGCCCUUAACAUGUCCCACGUGGUGAGGAGUUUGGCCCAUGGGCAGUGGUCCCUUUACCAUCCUCAGUGGCCGAGCUGGCUCUGAGGUACCUAGGUGUCUGAGGAAGGGUGCCAGAUCCCGCUCGUGAGCCCUUUCCAUACUCCAGACUUAACUGCAUUUCUAUGUGAGUACCUCUGAUGUCAUAUAAAGGACCCAGAGUGACCGGGGCUGAGAGAAUUGGCCGAGCAGAUCUAGCCGGGGCAGACACCUGUAGCAGAGGGUGGCGGGAUCUGAUAAAUUUCAACAAAGUCCGCCCCUAUCAGGCCCUUACCCCUUCGGGCUGUUUCAGAGGGCUGCAUCAUAGGAUUGUGUCCCCAAGGCAGUGACAAGGAAUGGCUUUAGUUCCACUGAGGGAUCUGAGAGGACACCCUGGCACCACCCUGGCACCCCUUCUCCUCGUUCUUGGCUGCUUGGUCCCUCUGGGAUCCUCCUGGCUCUCCCAGGCAUUGGGUACUGAGCACAGUGCUCAGCACGAGGUAUGCUUUAUGCAUCCCAUCAGCUAGGAGACAUAACGCUCCCUUGUUAACGUGGGUGAGAAAACGGAGCCUGGGAACAGUUUUGUGGACGCUUAGCUAAAUUCAGACCCACAGUCCAGACUCCUGGCUGCGGCAGCUCUAGCCUCCAUGAUUAGGAUGGGUCACUCGAAGAACCCUGGUCAGGGGGUAGCUGGAAUGGGAGCCCUGGCUCCCCCAAAGGAGAACAGCCGAGUGCCGCCCACCUCCUGCUGCUCCGUAGAACCCAGCAUAGGAACAAUGCGGCCUCUAUCUGGAGCAGUUCGGGCAGCCUGGACUCCAGGCCCCUCCGAACGGCUUGGCUUGCCAGGCAGUCGCAACAUGGCGCCAGGGCCACCCUGCCCAUCUACAGGGCUGGCUGUCGCCUGGGCAGGGGCUGGGCUGGUGUUCCAGGCGUCCUCAGGCUAGCUGCUGAGUGGUCAGGCACUGUGGUAUCCUCCCUCCUCUUUCUGUCGUCCAGCCCCCGCCUUUUUUUUUUUUUUUUGGUGGUGGGUUUGGGGGCCCGGCCCACCCGCCUCUGCCACGUCUGCCAUCCUCCAGGCACCCACGAGCAUCUUUCGAAAAUUCCCGGUGGGCGGGGCCGAGCUGUAGCGGCCGCCUCUGCCCCCCCCUCCCUAGGAGCCAGUGCCAGAUGAGAGAGAUCAGGAGACAAAAGUAGCAUUUUCCUCGUCCUCCUAGGCUGGCAGCAGGGCCUUCCCCCAGCGCCACUUGCUCCUGGCAGUCCUAACCCCGGGUGCCAGAGUAGCCAAGGCCCAGGCCAGGACCUACAGACUGAUGGAUGCCAGAGCCCAGGAGGCCCAAGGGCCUGUCCGGCAGAGACUGGCACCUGGGGACAGCCUUUUGGCUGGUGGGAGCCCUCUUACCCAGCCAGGGCAGGGGGACAUCGUUUUCACUUCCUGGCUUUUGAGAAAGUGACCCUGUCCUUCAGUUCCUUGGUAAGUGACCUUCUCCCCUUCUCCUGCUGGGGACGAGCAGAGGGCCCUGCCAUCUUGUGCUCCGUGCCUGAUACGUCUCCUUCCCUCUAAUUGGCUUAACCCAAACCCCAAAUUCUAUUUCAGAGCCCCCCUUUUCUCUUAGUCUUGAGUGAAGCGGGUGCUGCCAAAAAAACUGCAGGGAAGAGACAGAAACCAAGCCAUUUAUUUUUCAGAUCCAAAGCGAUGGCUUUCAAAAUGAUAAUGAAAACACACGUUCGUUCGGUAUUUCUCAGUGGCAGCGUGUUCGGUUAGGAGCGGAAUGAGGGCUGGAGGAGGCAUCAGUCGGCACAGCCACCCUUCCUUCCCUUCCUGUGUCGCUUUGUUGUUGAAGGGGGUCUUAUUAUUUCAUCACCAUUUUUUUUUUUUUAACUUUGGCAGUACCAGGAAUAGCAGAGGGGAAAAAUCCAGAACCAUCGUAGGGUCCUCCAGCAAAGGGCGAAGGCAGGGCUGGCCGCACGCAGGAGGGAGGACUUUCGUGUCCAGGAACAGAGGUUCUUUUAUUCUGUCCCGCAUCCCUGAUGCCACCAUUUCCACAGUUUAGGGAUUUAGUUCUUUCUGCCUUUCGUUUCGUUUUAUUUAUUUAUUUAUUUAAAAAAGAAGAAAGCUUUUCUUGGCUGACAGCUCAGUGUGGGGAAAAGCUGGGGUCUUGCACUCUGCUUUUUAAGCACUUGUUUUUAAGGGUUUUUUUUUUCUUUUCUUUUCUUUUUUUUUUUUAAAUUUUGAGGAGAUAAUCUGCAUCACCGUAAAGUGCCCAGCUUGUAACCACCUUGCCAGGCUGGUCGAGAAGUGCCCAUGGGCACCAGUCACCAGGCAGACCUUUGAAGAGAACGCCAAGUGGUUCCCAGGCCUGUCUAGACCCUGUCCCAUACUGGUUCCUCACCAGCAUAGUUGUGCCAGGCCACACAGAGCCUAAACUGUGGCCAAUGGGAGCCCCUGAAGACGUUUGUGUAACCCGCCAUGCCAGUGCUGCCCGUGAGCUGAGUUAGUGGCUGUCUGAGUUUAGUCCCAGGCCCCAUCCUUUAUAAAAAGGUGACAUGUGCAGAGCUCAGCUGCCUGCUCACCUCCAGCCCCCUGGCAUGCUGACAAGAGCGCCCCCGACCACAGCCCGGUUCUCUGUGUGUGAGGGUAGCUGGGGUCUUGAUUUAUGGGAACUGGAAAAUCCUACGCAGAAAGUUCCACUGCACAGGAAGAGGAAAAUUCCCAAGUACAGACAUCUUUGUUCCCCUAGUGCAGAGGCACAUGGACUCUACGUGUCCAGGGGCUCGGCUGCAGCCGCCACCCGGAGCACACUCCACCAAAUAUGAAAACGGAGCCCAGCCCGGCUGCUUUUGUUCUUAACGCUAGGCAGCAGUCGAUACCGAAGGGUUUGGGGCUGCGGAGACAGGCAUGUAUAGCUGAGAUAAUUAAAACAUUUUCACGAUUAUGACAGCCACAUUCUGCUGCUGCAAGCUGGAGGAUUCAUUCCACCCAAAUAUUUAGCAAGCAUCGGAUAAAACACUAGUGGCAAAAUAAAAGUAAUAUGGGGGAAAACAGUGUAAUAUAUUUCAAAGGCAAAAGCAUGGCAAAGAGGGGAUUAAGCAAGGGAGAAAAGGGAGAUGAGCGGCUUGAAAGAGUCUGCAUUUUAAUAGCUGCCCGCCCCUCACCCGUUGUCUUUAAUAGUUAAUGUAGGUGACUAUAGCUCCAAUUUUAAGUUCUGGAUGGAUGUGUGGUAGCAUUUUUUUUUUUUAGUGUUAAUUCACCUUUUUGGACAAGAUGAGGGAAAGUAGCAGGAAAAUAACUCACAUAAAUAUCUUCGCCGUUAAAUUAGUACCUUCUACUCUGAGUAAAUUUACCCACUACUCUUAGUGUAUGUCUGUCACACUGUCCUUAUGUGCCUGGGAAAAUGAUGAGUAUCCACUUGCCACCUUAAGUUUUAAAUUUCACUAGAAUCAGACCUCCUCUCCUGUCCCCCAAAAGAGUAAAAUGUCAUACUCUGUUUUAAAAAAAAAUGGGCACAAAAACCUCAGCUCUUUCCAUGGUACCCAUUGCUUUUUGACAGUAUUUAAAAAAAAAAAUAGAAAGUACCACGCAAAGCGCUUUCCACAUCAUUGCUUCUACAUAAAUUCCACUAUAGACAGAAAUUAUACAUUCUCGAGGCACAGAUGGGCUGGUCUGUCAUUACCACUGCCUGGUACUUGUUGGAACACACGGCAUAUUUUAAUUGUGGAGUCAACAAUUUCGAAGAACUGAGGUCAAAAUAAACAAGCUGCGUUUGUGUCGAGAGGCAAACUUGUUCCAUGAUCUUCUGGAAGGGCUGACGGAGGGCCACUGCUUUGUUAAAUUUUUGCUCUCUGUAUACACAUGUAUGUGUGCCGUGUGUGUGCGUGUGCGUGUGCGUGUGUGUAGGCAUUUGCACACCAUGGCACACGUGGAGGUCAGAACACAACUCGGUUCUCUCCCUCCACCGUGUGGCUUCCAAGAAUUGAAUUCAGAUUGUCAGGCUUGGCCAGCAACACCAUUACCUACAGAGUCAGCUCUCCAUUUCUGUCCCCAUCUUUUAAGAUUCCAAAUGCCCUGUGUCAAAGGUCCUUCCAUGUUUUAAUUAAUUAACCAAUUUUUAAUCUCAUUUGCUACAUGAACACUGUAGCACCUACCCUUAAAUUCCAACUUGUGGGGCAUGGAAUUAUUGAUAUAUCUUAUUAACUAUAAGGAGGUUCAGCCUCUGGCUAUUCUGGGUCACCAUGCAUGUAAUUAUUUUGAUACCUGCAUGGAAAAAAAAAAACCCCAAAUAAUAAAUAUUUCAAAUGGUCGAAAAGUACAUUUAAGUCCAAACUUGAAAAAAAAAAUUCAAUGGGUCAAUUGCAUAAAGUAGGUAUAAAUUAAAAAAAAAAAAAAGUCUCAGCAAGCUAAGGAAAUGCAGAAUGUAUUGGGCUGUAUCACCACACUAGAGGCCAGAGCACCUUUACAGCCACAGUCAUUUGCAGACGAUGAUAACUGCUUAUUUUGGGAAUUGUGUACAUGUGAUGAUGUAAUCAGCUCCAAGCUGCACUUCGCCCCUUUCCCGUGUGUUAAGCACUGACCUCUGUCCUUCUGGAGUCGGAUGUGGUGUUCCCUGCCUGCAGAGAGCAUCUGAGGCUCCUGCAUUGGGAGAGGGGAAAGGAAGGGCCUAGCUGCACGUGUGCGCGUGCAUACACACACACACACACACACACACACACACACACAUCCCCAUCCCCGGGAGCUCCAGCCCCCGCAUCCAUUUGUUAAUAGAAGUACUUUGUUGUGGCUUGUUUAUUUGAAGGCUUGUACCUGUUGGUGGAGAUGUCAGAGAACAGUGGAAAUGGAACGCUGGUGAAAUCCUCCCCAGCUGGCUAGGAGUGAACAUGGCUGCUCCAGAGAGCCUCCUAGGAAAGUGAAAGCCUGUUGUGUGUACCAGAAGACCCCGUGGGACCUCAAACACAGGCUUCAGCCUCUUCUUGACGGUUUCCCCAGGUGACUCUUGAAGCUCAAGGAUCAUGUCCAACCCAGGCCCCGCCCUGGAUUCAUGUCGACUCGUCCCUGUCAGAGGCCCGAGGCCCUUGGCUGUGUGAGUUGCAUCUCUCCCGUGACCCAGCCACCCUGCACGGUGGCUUCUGUGGCUAGUAUCCCUGCCCCCCGGGGCCUCAGACUAGCUACCCGUGAAGUGGGGUUGUACACCGCACAGAUUUUUGCUCUGCGUAGGUCAGGAGACAGCCUGAGUGGGACCAGUAGCCCCUAGGGCCGACCUCUCCGCCUCUGGUUUAUAACUGGAUUCUGAAUAAGACAGAAACGAGGGUGGUGAGGGGGACACAAAGGAGCCCCUACAACACCUGGAUCCGUUCCUCUGUGGGACUCUGGCCCAUCACUGAGUGCCUACUGCCCUCCGCCUAGAGAGGCUUGGAGACCAGCCGUGGUGGCCGGGCAGGGGGACCCCUGGCCAGAGGCCAGAAAGGGGGUUGUGAGUAGAUGUUGGUCGCUUGUUUAAGAAGCAGCUGGAACAAGCCGAGAAAGCAAGGGCUGUCUCUAGCUGUAUCCAUAGAAAGCGGGGGAACAGGGCGUGGCCAUACGCUCCUGAAGGAAGUCCCCCUGGCGUUCUGUUGAUGGCCACUUUGGCAGCUGACCCCUUGACCUGUGGGCCCCAGAUGGGAAAGGAGCUAUCUAGCCCACUAGUUCUUGGAGCACAGGAUGGCACUUGAGCCCCCUGGCUUGGGCCCUCCCCAACCUGGGCAGUUAAGGACAUGUCCUGCAGAGACCCUAGGGCGGAGAAUUGUAACCCAGAAGAGCUCAGCCCCGGGAAGCCUCACGGCUUGUGGGACCAACUGUCACCAUAAAGUGGGAGAACCUCCGUGUUCUCUGACAGGCACACCACCCGGAGCCCCUUGAAGGGAAGUAUGGAAGUCUCUGGAAGCCCUGAGUAUGCUUGGAGCUUGGGCGGGAGGAAGGCUCUGGAAGCAGGCUUGUUUCAUUAGGCGAUUGUUCCUCCUCCCCGCCAGGCAUCCACUGGUCUCACCCUCUGGCUUUCGCGGCCUUUGUCUUGCAAGGGUGCCACAAAAUGGCCGACACAGCCCUCCGCCAUUUUGUAGCUGAAACGAGCAGUAGCCUUGCAGAGGGGGAGACCCCUGCUUCCUGCCUGCCCCCCGAGUGGCCUGGACGGAGCCCAGGACCAGCCCCCACCCUGCUUGGCUUUGGCCAUGGCCGCCCCGGGCUUGGCACAGCCAGCUGCUUGGCAAGGCAAGCCUGGGAGUCCUGGCCUCUUACCCAGAUCCACUGAUUCCUUGCUACCCACCAAGCAAACGAGGAGGAGGCUGCACAUCAGAAUCCGGAAAACCCGCCACCAACACUGUACUUUUAGAGGGAGUCCUUGGCAGGGGUGGUCCUAGAAAUGAUGUCCCCACUGUGGUACCGGGUUCCUAAGUGGAGCCAUCAUCAACAAGCAUAGGUUUGAGUUAGGUCCCCCGGAGAGGAAAGCCUGCAAAUGCCCUUCAUACCCCUGACCUGCCCCAGGGACCUUGGGCCUCCCUGGCUGAGCAUGGUACAGAAUGCCAGGGGUUCACAAUGGCCAGACCGUCUCCUGGCCCGGGUUGCCUAUGAUGUUGUCACAUAGUCCAGGUACUUGCUAGAGGAGGAUGCUUUGCUCCAAGGGCAAGGCCACCCCCCCAUACCACCGAGGCUCUGAGGUACACGAAGCUUUUCCCCGAUCAACACUGCUCCUCUGCCUUCCCAGAGAUCAGAAGCAGCCCAUCCCAGAGCGAUGCCAUAAUGAUGCCAUCCAGGCCCCCAGCACCCCAGCAGCCCCGAGUCAUCAUUAUACUGACAGUACAUUCCAGCUUCCGAAGACAUCCGCCCAGCCCUGAAAGGGCCACCUGCCUGCCUAGGUCUUCAGCGCACCUGUCCUGGCCAGCCUGGCUCCUCCUCCAGGCACCCUGCCCGUGGGCAGACACUGCCGGACUGGGGCAAAGCUGAGAGCUGGCAGCUGGCAGAUGGCAGGGCGUCAGCUGACUGCUCACUCCCUGGUGACCUGUUCAGGAUCGCCAUUCAUGUGCACUGCCCGCCCUCCCUCCCCCAGCCUCGCCUCACUGGGUCCCUCUGGUUUGUUUCAGGAUCCCUUCCCUGUCACCCCUUGAGAAAGGAGGCAUUUUAUGUGGGUCCCAGCGCCCCCAGGGCUGAGGCCAGUGGUCAAGGCCUAGCUGUUGUACAGGUAAGCCUGGCACAGCCAAACACCCCGCAAGUAUGGAACUGGGCCUUUUCCUCACUCACUCACAAAUGGCUCUGGAGUCCAGACCAAGAAAGGGUGACCCUUCCUGAAGUCUUGUGGAACCAGUGUAGUAAGCCCCCGGUGUAGGGCAGAGCUGCCUAAGAACUGAGGAGACCAUGGUAGUAGCCAUGCCUGCCGCCAGAGCAUGGAGAGACACCUGAGAGAAAUGGACCCAAGAAGGGCACCUAUGGGUCAACCUCACUAGACUCGAACCCUGGGCGGAGUGAGGCCCCCUGGAGAGCAGGAGCCUUGUGGAAAGAAACAGGAAGAACAGGUCAGCGGUUCCUGGCAGAGGGACAGACCAGGGCAAAAGGCAGGAGGUGGGGAGGGCCUGGGAGAUGGCCAAGGAGGGCAGAGGAGGCUUGCCCAGGGCAUUUUGCUGCUUUGUGGGGUGGGGGAGGGGCCGAUGGGCACAGUGGGAAGGAUCAGAGAAAGAGUGUCUGUGUGAUGGAUAGCUGGGCUGUCUUGGGGGUGCGGGCAAGGCGGGUAGUCAGGGAGAGGGCUUUCCCACCCCUGUGUCCUCACCAGACCCUCAAUAACCAAUGGCCUCAUCUUCCUUUCCUUGAGCUGUGAGGGAACAACAAGGCUCCUAACAAACCACCCUGGCUUGAUGGACAGAACCGGGCAGAUCCCAAGCAGGGCUCGUCUCUGUAUUCCGCACCCUAGGCUCGGCUCCAGAGCCCUGCGGCCGGCCAGGCUGCUUCUCACUGCCGCCAUGUCCCUGCUUGGCCUUCCAUCUUUCUGCUGGCUCUGCCCUGAUGCCUUGGCCAGAGUGGGUCCAAAGGAGGUAAGAGAGCAACUUGAUCCAUGGAGCAAGCCUGUGUGAUCCAGUGAGCCCCUUCACUGGGUCUCUGCUCUUGCGGGAGAGAGGCAUCACUUGCCCUAUGUCCUAGGGAAGCUGCAUCUCGCUGACCACCUCUGAAAGGAUGAACUCUCCUUCCCGGGUCCAGUUAGCUACCACAGUGUACAUGAGGGCGAGCAUGAGCCUGUCCCUUCAUGGUGCUUUCUCCCUCCCUCAGACCUCACAGCCAGUGGCCAGGAAGAACACUGGCCACCCACAUAGACAUGCUCGGCCACCACGGAUGAAGUUGGAGUCAUAGUCUCUGACCAGCAUGUCCAGCGUGCAGGGCUGGUUUUAGAAGCCAUUCCAUCCAAAGCUUUGCGUGCAGAGUGUCACCAGGCAGCAGACAGGACUGGAUGAAAAUGUCAUUGUGCCGUGGGCUAUCAGGGUGCAGCCAGGGCGGGCAUCCAGGGGCCAGGCUUUCUCCCUUCAGAGGUUGAUGAUCAUUGCUUUUGUUUCUAAACCCAGGCAGGUCAGGAGGUGAUGGUACCAAGCAGGAGCUUCUGUGUGCAGCUGACUCCCCUGUGGUGAGUGGGACCCCGCUGUCCUUCCUCGGAAAGUAGGGGGCCAUGGGAGACCUCAGAGUGAGAAAGGAUAGGCUCAGAGUCACAUCACUGACGUUGCUCCAGCACCUCAGCUUAGAUGUCUUUGCCUGGAGGCCUGUACUCCCCCCCUCCCACGCACCCCAGGACUGUGCCUCCCACCAGCAGACUGCCCCCAGAUGAGUCAUCUCAUCUACCCAUAAUGCACUGCGAUAUGAUGCUCUUUGAUCCCCUCUCAGCCGACCCAGGCCGGACAUGGUUUAACAGAACUCCAGUUCCAUUCAUUACUGGCUCUGAGGGGAAGAGAGGAGCAGCCUCCCUACCCUGAAGAGACACUGUCCGGAGGCUCACACCCUUCAGGUCACCCAGCCUUGAGAGCUCUCUGGGGACUUCAAAGGCAGCUCUUUUCUCUCUGUCCCCCACUGCCAUCACGCAGCCCUCCGGUGUGGUGCUAAUAACCCCCGCCCCCAUGCCACCCAGCGUUGAUGGAGGACGUGCCAGAAGUGCCGUGCCUGGAGUAAGAAGAAAGGCCAGAUGAGGGGAACAGAAUCACUUCUGUCCCCAGGUUGGGCUAAGGCACAGGGGGUGCCUGAGUCAUUGUCAGGGAGGGACCAGGAUGCUUGCCUCCAAUUAUUUCUCUCCCACAGCUUUGGGCUCUGCAUGUCUUGGGUUGCAGUGAAGCCCAAAACCUCGGGGAGGGUAGGCAGGGACAGGUGCAGGACAGGCCCUUUGGGGGCUGUCACAAUGGCACACCAGCCCCCUGCUGAUUCCUAACUCCCGUGGCCAAGGAGCUGCUGAGAAUCCCCAAGGGCCAGCUAAAGGGACCCCACAGAAAUGCAAGGUGUGCAUAAGAUUACCCAGUGAAAAGAGACAGCCAAGACCUUCCAGGGAGUCCUGCUCACCAUACUGUGUCCUGCCGGCUAGGGGCAGAACCCCAAGUGUUGAGAGGCCCCUGUCAAGGUGUGCCUUCUUCAAGGUGCUUCUGAGGGGCCCAGAUGGGGAUGGCCAAAGUGGCCUUUAGUCAUUCUCCCACAGCCAAGGUGCAUCCUGGGAACUGACAAGGUUAACUGUGGCCAGGCAGUGACACCCCUCUACCUUCCCACCUGGUCCAUUCAUCAUAGACGGAACAUGAGGCGGGCACCUGAACCACACUCUCUUCCCAUAGGCCUUCCUGCUUUGCUGGCUCUACUUGGACCAUCCUUGGGGAUAUUUGACCUGUCUGUUAGUUAGUGAACGGGUCCAGGCUUGAGGCAGGGGAUGGCACACCAGUGGCUCACAUAGAUGUCCUCUGGGGCUGGACAGUGCCUGCCCACCGAGGGCCGGGCCACACUAGCACUCGGGGGCCUUGUUCCCAAGCCACUCUGCCUCAUAGACUUCAGGUCUGGGUACACAGUGUGGACUUUAAACCUCAUGGCUCCAUUUUGACCCAGGGUCCUCGGAUUUGCUCCUGUGACCCUUGGCAGGGAGGGAGGGAGGUGUGGCAUCAUACAGAGAACAAAAGCUGCCAGUCUUCCUGGGACCGGGUAGAGAGCUUCCCUCUGCGUUGCCGGGCAGACCUGUCUGCGGCCUGUAAGCAGCGGUCCUUUCCCCUCUGAAGGCAGAGCCACCUGGGACUAGAAACUCGGCCUUCUGAGCCUCAGUUUCUUCACAGUGACCCCACCUCACAGACUGCCCAGCCGGGUGCCUGCCUAGAAAAACUGUGGAAGGAGGGCCUGUAAUGGAGUCUCCAAGUCUAUGUUGGAACCGGAGAGCAGAGAGCUCCAGGAGCAUCUUACAAGGUGGGAAGAAUGCUCCAACACACUGCUACUGCUCCGCUGGAGAGGCUGGAAGCCUUGGUUAUAAAUAAGAUAGGCUUAAAUACACUGGCCCAAGGUUUCCCCGGCAAGCUAGUGGCUGUGGGCAGUGUGGACAGGCUGACUGUUGCCCCAGAGUGGAUCUUACCUGUCCCACUACACAGUGAGCAGUACGGGCCACACCAGGCUGCCUGGCCUGACCAGGGCGUCCUCCCUGCUGGGCUCUGUCCAAGGCUCUGGGAGCCCCAAACUCAGAGCCAAGCACAGAGCCCCUGCGGGCUUCAGGAAGUGCUAGUCGCCAAGGACAGACUGGCCAUCAGUGUCCAGCCAGGGUCUGCACUUCCGCCCAGCUGGCCGCCAUGGGGAGCUAGGCUGCCUCCCACAAGGAAAAAAAAAAUGGUUUUGAGCCUUCUGCAGCAAGGUCACUUGAGGCCACCCUGAGCGGGGAGGCAGGGACAGACCCAGAGCCCUCAAGGAGGGGCUCUUCCUGUGUAAGAGGAGGAGGGUACAUGCCCAAGGCCUCUUCAUGGCUGGAGUUCUGGUGCCUUCAGCUCUGUGGGUGCUACAGCUGAGUGUACAGAGCCUGGGUCUCAGCCUGGUGGGCACUGGAAGCCCCCCUGGACCUGGCUGGCCUUUGACAAGUGACCACCCUUCCCCCAUGGUGGCCAUUCCUGCCUAGUGACUGGUCAGCUUUUCCUCUCUCCUCCCCCCCCCCCCCCCCC